rnacentral:misc_RNA from 1 species
CUUCGAAUGCCGUUGUCGUGGGCUUCAGUUGUGCUUACCGCUCAGUGUGUGCCGUUGCUGCCAGUGAGAGUGACCCAAAACUGUGACACAGUGACUCCAGUCGUGACUGUCGGCCGUCGGUGGUGCGUCUCGGUGGCGUAUGCUUGAUUUGUGUGGCGCCCUAACGUAUGCUUCAUUUGUAAUACGCGAACCGGGCAAAGUUCUCGCAGUGCAUCCUCAAGGAUACCAACCAAAAAGUAACAACAAACCCAUCAUUGAAUUGUGCCCCUCCUUUGAAGUUAAUCUACACACUCGCUGGUGUGCAGUGUGGUGGCUGUGUGGUAGUGAGCUGCUGCCUGUGUGUGUGUAAUGCGUAUAUAAGUCAGGCAAAUUUGUCACGUGUUUUGGAUAUCUUUUUCUGAUGCCGCCCGUCCGGGAAUUUAUUGAAAAAUUGCACAGAGAUAAAUGCGCUAAACAAACAAAAUCCGAAAACGACCAAAAUCCAAUCUGAAUCAAAGGGGUAGUGGGACUUAGCCCCAGAGUCAGGACAGAUGUUGCUGUUCUGAAAUAAGUGAACAUGGCCCACAGCCAAUGGUUAUUGAUGGUCCGAGUGGAGGAAAUCACUGUUGAAGCAACGAGAAACCAAGACCGAGACCCAAAGAAAUAUUAAACAAAUUAUGAGCAGCAGCGCGAUUGUGGGGCAAUAAAAUUGGCCAUAAAAACAUAGUUCAAACCGCGCGGCGAACAAUAAACGAGGAAAACUAAUAUUUGACAAACCGUCAGCGAAGUCACUCGAAAGUAAAAUUGUGAACAUUCGCAAAAAGUUGCUACCCCGAGAAAAUCCCAAACGUUUGCACUCGUUGCGUAUACGCCGUGUUGGCAGUUUUGCAUUUUUGCAAGAGGUGUUAAAUGCGUUCGCCAGUCUCAGCUGGAGCUGCAGCUCCACCGACCACAGUCCACCACGGAUCCGCCGCUGGAAAGUACCAGUAAAGGCCAGUGAAAGUACCAAACUGUGCACUAUUUCCGCGUAACUGAACAUUAUCGCUCUCGCUCCCUCGCGGGAGGGGAUGCGCUCCUGGAAAAGUCGCAGUCGAUCCAAAAUGCAAACACUCGAAACGAGAACGCGGCUCCUGCAGGGCGCCCAGCUCACCCAGCUGCUCCUCGGUGCCAUCCUCUGCCUCACAAUCGCAUCGCACACACAGACGUCGGCGGAGGCGGCAGGCGGAAGGGCAUCUGGACCAGGAGCAGACAGAACAUCACAAGGAGCAGGGACAUCGUCGGCAUCCGCAUCGGCAUCGGCAGCCUCCAUGGCCAUCAGCUCCGAUGAGAGCGGCGACCCAUCAUCGGCGACCGCGUUCUCCAGCUUGGCUCAAGUGUCCUCGCUUCUGCCGGAGGCAUCCGCACUGUCGGCGACAUCGGGACUCGUGGAGCCCUAUCUGGAUGGCUAUGCCACUUCCAAUGUGACCACUCAGAUCGGGACACACGCGUAUCUGCCCUGUCGGGUCAAACAACUGGGCAACAAAUCUGUGUCCUGGAUUCGUCUGCGAGAUGGACACAUCUUGACCGUUGACAGGGCCGUCUUCAUAGCCGACCAGCGAUUCCUGGCCAUCAAGCAGCCGGACAAGUACUGGACCCUGCAGAUCAAGUACGUCCAGGCCCGGGACGCCGGCUCCUACGAGUGCCAGGUCUCCACGGAGCCCAAAGUCAGCGCCCGUGUCCAGCUGCAAGUUGUGGAAACAGCAUCAGCAGGCCAAAUGAACAAUGUAAAUGUCAGUCGAGGGCAUCGGAGGAUGUUCUGAGCCCUGUAAUUGAUAUGAAAUUUCCCGGCUGUGGUUCUGGCUCACACUAUUUAUCUGGCCGGCACAAUAACAACUGCAUUGCUUGGGGCUAUGACACGGAAAUCAGUGCGAAUAUUUUUUGGCCACGGCUAUUGGGUUUCGGAUUCGCAUUCGAAUUCGGUUUCAGAUCCAGAUUUUAUCUAUGACACGGAUGCAUUCAUUUGAAACGAUUUCUUCUGCAAGCUGCGGCUGAGGUCAAUUUAGCCCAGCUCAGAUGGCAACGAAAAGAGGAGCGCAAAGCAGUGAAAGUAAAAAGUCAAUUUGCAUUUGAAGCCAACAAAUUGAAUUUUCUUUCAUCCAACUAACACUUUGGUUUUAUGGCUAUCCAGCCUGAGGAUGCUGCCGGCAAAAAAGGACACAUCAUGCUGAAUCGAGGGAUGAGCAGGGAAAAAUGAGGGCAAGGGCAAUAGACUGGAUAAUGGUGUUGCCAAAAAGUGAUUUUCGCAUUUCCGGCUCAGCUAAUUUGUAUGCUAAACACAUGCGCAUGUAUGCCAAAACCUCAUGUGAGCGUGCGUGUCCACUGGGAACAAUCAGAUUAUAUUGUUAAAAAUGGAAAAAAUAGAAAACAUCGAAAAUUUAACAUGUUAAAUUAGAUCUGCUUGAUAGGCACAAUAUGUAUUUUGGGUAUGAACA